UACGUAGGUGGCAAGCGUUGUCCGGAUUUACUGGGUGUAAAGGGCGAGUAGGCGGGGCCUCAAGUCUGAUGUGAAAACUAUCGGCUUAACUGAUAGACUGCAUUGGAAACUGAGGUUCUUGAGUGAUGGAGAGGCAGGCGGAAUUCCUAGUGUAGCGGUGAAAUGCGUAGAUAUUAGGAGGAACACCAGUGGCGAAGGCGGCCUGCUGGACAUUAACUGACGCUGAGGCGCGAAAGCGUGGGGAGCAAACAGGAUUAGA
rnacentral:rRNA from 1 species